CUACGGGAGGCACCAGGCGCGAAACCUUUACAAUGCACGAAAGUGUGAUAAGGGGACUCCAAGUGUCCAUAUACCAUAUGGACUUUUUCGUAGUUUAAAACGCUAUGGGAAUAAGGGGUGGGUAAGACUAGUGCCAGCCGCCGCGGUAAAACUAGCAUCCCAAGUGGCAGUCACCAUUACUGGGCUUAGAGCGUCCGUAGCUAGUUAGGUAAGUCUCUGGUGAAAUCCUGCAGCUUAACUGUAGGGAGUGCCGGGGAAACUACCUGACUCGAGGACAGGAGAGGUCAGGGGUACUUCUGGGGUAGGGGUGAAAUCCUAUAAUCCUAGAAGGACCAACAGUGGCGAAGGCGCCUGACAUGAAUGUGCCUGACAGUGAGGGACGAGAGCCAGGGUCGCGAAACGGAUUAGAUACCCCCGUAGUC
rnacentral:rRNA from 1 species